rnacentral:rRNA from 1 species
AGAAUCAACGCUGGCGGCGUGCCUAACACAUGCAAGUCGAACGAGAAAGGGUAGCAAUACCUGAGUAAAGUGGCGCACGGGUGAGUAACACGUGACUAACCUACCCUGGAGUGGGGGAUAACUGAGGGAAACCUUAGCUAAUACCGCAUAACACCUACGGGUCAAAGGAGCAAUUCGCUUUGGGAGGGGGUCGCGGUCGAUUAGUUAGUUGGCGGGGUAAUGGCCCACCAAGACUUUGAUCGAUAUCC